UUUUAUGAUGAUACUAUUUGAUAGGAAUUGCCGUCUGAUACAUAAAUGAAGCUACUUUAAUUUUUAUCUGAUU